rnacentral:rRNA from 1 species
GAUGAACGCUAGCGGCAGGCUUAAUACAUGCAAGUCGAGGGGCAGCAUGGUGUAGCAAUACACUGAUGGCGACCGGCAAACGGGUGCGGAACACGUACGCAACCUUCCCAUAACUGGUGAAUAGCCCUCCGAAAGGAGGAUUAAUACACCGUAACAUAAUGAAGAGGCAUCUCUUUAUUAUUAUAGACUUCGGUCGGUUUUGGAUGGGCGUGCGCCUGAUUAGGUAGUUGGCGGGGUAACGGCCCACCAAGCCUACGAUCAGUAACUGGUGUGAGAGCACGACCAGUCACACGGGCACUGAGACACGGGCCCGACUCCUACGGGAGGCAGCAGUAAGGAAUAUUGGUCAAUGGACGAAAGUCUGAACCAGCCAUGCCGCGUGAAGGAUGAAGGCCCUCUGGGUUGUAAAACUUCUUUUAUCUGGGGACGAAAAAAAGGGGAUUCUUCCUCACUUGACGGUACCAGAGGAAUAAGCACCGGCUAACUCCGUGCCAGCAGCCGCGGUAAAGUG